CAUAGGUUAAUGAGGCGAACCGGGGGAACUGAAACAUCUAAGUACCCCGAGGAAAAGAAAUCAACCGAGAUUCCCCCAGUAGCGGCGAGCGAACGGGGAGGAGCCCAGAGCCUGAAUCAGUGUGUGUGUUAGUGGAAGCGUCUGGAAAGGCGCGCGAUACAGGGUGACAGCCCCGUACACAAAAAUGCACAUAUUGUGAGCUCGAUGAGUAGGGCGGGACACGUGGUAUCCUGUCUGAAUAUGGGGGGACCAUCCUCCAAGGCUAAAUACUCCUGACUGACCGAUAGUGAACCAGUACCGUGAGGGAAAGGCGAAAAGAACCCCGGCGAGGGGAGUGAAAAAGAACCUGAAACCGUGUACGUACAAGCAGUGGGAGCCUCUUAAUGGGGUGACUGCGUACCUUUUGUAUAAUGGGUCAGCGACUUAUAUUCUGUAGCAAGGUUAACCGAAUAGGGGAGCCGAAGGGAAACCGAGUCUUAACUGGGCGUUAAGUUGCAGGGUAUAGACCCGAAACCCGGUGAUCUAGCCAUGGGCAGGUUGAAGGUUGGGUAACACUAACUGGAGGACCGAACCGACUAAUGUUGAAAAAUUAGCGGAUGACUUGUGGCUGGGGGUGAAAGGCCAAUCAAACCGGGAGAUAGCUGGUUCUCCCCGAAAGCUAUUUAGGUAGCGCCUCGUGAAUUCAUCUCCGGGGGUAGAGCACUGUUUCGGCAAGGGGGUCAUCCCGACUUACCAACCCGAUGCAAACUGCGAAUACCGGAGAAUGUUAUCACGGGAGACACACGGCGGGUGCUAACGUCCGUCGUGAAGAGGGAAACAACCCAGACCGCCAGCUAAGGUCCCAAAGUCAUGGUUAAGUGGGAAACGAUGUGGGAAGGCCCAGACAGCCAGGAUGUUGGCUUAGAAGCAGCCAUCAUUUAAAGAAAGCGUAAUAGCUCACUGGUCGAGUCGGCCUGCGCGGAAGAUGUAACGGGGCUAAACCAUGCACCGAAGCUGCGGCAGCGACACUAUGUGUUGUUGGGUAGGGGAGCGUUCUGUAAGCCUGUGAAGGUGGCCUGUGAGGGUUGCUGGAGGUAUCAGAAGUGCGAAUGCUGACAUAAGUAACGAUAAAGCGGGUGAAAAGCCCGCUCGCCGGAAGACCAAGGGUUCCUGUCCAACGUUAAUCGGGGCAGGGUGAGUCGACCCCUAAGGCGAGGCCGAAAGGCGUAGUCGAUGGGAAACAGGUUAAUAUUCCUGUACUUGGUGUUACUGCGAAGGGGGGACGGAGAAGGCUAUGUUGGCCGGGCGACGGUUGUCCCGGUUUAAGCGUGUAGGCUGGUUUUCCAGGCAAAUCCGGAAAAUCAAGGCUGAGGCGUGAUGACGAGGCACUACGGUGCUGAAGCGACAAAUGCCCUGCUUCCAGGAAAAGCCUCUAAGCAUCAGGUAACAUCAAAUCGUACCCCAAACCGACACAGGUGGUCAGGUAGAGAAUACCAAGGCGCUUGAGAGAACUCGGGUGAAGGAACUAGGCAAAAUGGUGCCGUAACUUCGGGAGAAGGCACGCUGAUAUGUAGGUGAAGCGACUUGCUCGUGGAGCUGAAAUCAGUCGAAGAUACCAGCUGGCUGCAACUGUUUAUUAAAAACACAGCACUGUGCAAACACGAAAGUGGACGUAUACGGUGUGACGCCUGCCCGGUGCCGGAAGGUUAAUUGAUGGGGUUAGCGGUAACGCGAAGCUCUUGAUCGAAGCCCCGGUAAACGGCGGCCGUAACUAUAACGGUCCUAAGGUAGCGAAAUUCCUUGUCGGGUAAGUUCCGACCUGCACGAAUGGCGUAAUGAUGGCCAGGCUGUCUCCACCCGAGACUCAGUGAAAUUGAACUCGCUGUGAAGAUGCAGUGUACCCGCGGCAAGACGGAAAGACCCCGUGAACCUUUACUAUAGCUUGACACUGAACAUUGAGCCUUGAUGUGUAGGAUAGGUGGGAGGCUUUGAAGUGUGGACGCCAGUCUGCAUGGAGCCGACCUUGAAAUACCACCCUUUAAUGUUUGAUGUUCUAACGUGGGCCCCUUACCGGGGUUGCGGACAGUGUCUGGUG
rnacentral:rRNA from 1 species